rnacentral:ncRNA from 1 species
AUCCAGGCGAUGAUGGAGAACAGUAAAAAUCCGACGUCUGACAGAGAGUGGAACUCGGCGGCUGGAAGGUUCCUCAGACUACGAUUUUGAAACCCGCUCCGGAGUUGUUCGGGAAUAAACCGGACCGGCGGCCUCCGAUACAGGGCAAAGAGUGAAUGCAUAAUAUUUAUGCAUUAAUAAAGGUGGUACCGCGAAAGUCAACCCUUUCGUCCUUUGG